rnacentral:tRNA from 1 species
GGAAAGGUGACCGAGUCAGGCUGAAGGUGUACGCCUGGAAAGCGUAUGGGCGGGAAACCGUCCCAAGGGUUCAAAUCCCUUCCUUUCCGCCA